rnacentral:rRNA from 2 species
AAAGUAGCAAUACUUUGGUGGCGACCGGCGCACGGGUGAGUAACGCGUAUGCAACCCAUCUAUCAGAGGGGAAUAACCCGGCGAAAGUCGGACUAAUACCGCAUAAAACAGGGACACCGCAUGGUGAUAUUUGUUAAAGAAAUUCGCUGAUAGAUGGGCAUGCGUUCCAUUAGGUAGUUGGUGAGGUAACGGCUCACCAAGCCGACGAUGGAUAGGGGAACUGAGAGGUUGGUCCCCCACACUGGUACUGAGACACGGACCAGACUCCUACGGGAGGCAGCAGUGAGGAAUAUUGGUCAAUGGGCGAGAGCCUGAACCAGCCAAGUCGCGUGAAGGAAGAAGGAUCUAUGGUUCGUAAACUUCUUUUGCAGGGGAAUAAAGUGCAGGACGUGUCCUGUUUUGUAUGUACCCUGAGAAUAAGGAUCGGCUAACUCCGUGCCAGCAGCCGCGGUAAUACGGAGGAUCCGAGCGUUAUCCGGAUUUAUUGGGUUUAAAGGGUGCGUAGGUGGUUUGAUAAGUCAGCGGUGAAAGUUUGCAGCUUAACUGUAAAAAUGCCGUUGAAACUGUCGGACUUGAGUGUAAAUGAGGUAGGCGGAAUGCGUGGUGUAGCGGUGAAAUGCUUAGAUAUCACGAAGAACUCCGAUUG